GCGGCGUGCCUAACACAUGCAAGUCGAGCGAUCUUCUUCGGAAGAGAGCGGCGGACGGGUGAGUAACGCGUGGGUAACCUGCCCUGUACACACGGAUAACAUACCGAAAGGUAUGCUAAUACGAGAUAAUAUACUUUUAUCGCAUGGUGGAAGUAUCAAAGUUCCGGCGGUACAGGAUGGACCCGCGUCUGAUUAGCUAGUUGGUAAGGUAACGGCUUACCAAGGCGACGAUCAGUAGCCGACCUGAGAGGGUGAUCGGCCACAUUGGAACUGAGACACGGUCCAAACUCCUACGGGAGGCAGCAGUGGGGAAUAUUGCACAAUGGGCGAAAGCCUGAUGCAGCAACGCCGCGUGAGCGAUGAAGGCCUUCGGGUCGUAAAGCUCUGUCCUCAAGGAAGAUAAUGACGGUACUUGAGGAGGAAGCCCCGGCUAACUACGUGCCAGCAGCCGCGGUAAUACGUAGGGGGCUAGCGUUAUCCGGAAUUACUGGGCGUAAAGGGUGCGUAGGUGGUUUCUUAAGUCAGAGGUGAAAGGCUACGGCUCAACCGUAGUAAGCCUUUGAAACUGGGAAACUUGAGUGCAGGAGAGGAGAGUGGAAUUCCUAGUGUAGCGGUGAAAUGCAUAGAUAUUAGGAGGAACACCAGUUGCGAAGGCGGCUCUCUGGACUGUAACUGAC
rnacentral:rRNA from 1 species